rnacentral:rRNA from 1 species
UACGGAGGGGCAAGCGUUGUUCGGAGUUACUGGGCGUAAAGGGCGCGUAGGCGGUGCGACAAGUCAGGCGUGAAAGCCCCGGCUUAACCUGGGAAUUGCGCUUGAUACUGUCGCGCUAGAGAUCGGGAGAGGAUGGCGGAAUUCCCAGUGUAGAGGUGAAAUUCGUAGAUAUUGGGAAGAACACCGGUGGCGAAGGCGGCCAUCUGGACCGCAUCGUGACGCUGAGGCGCGAAAGCGUGGGGAGCAA